ACAUCCCGAAACUAGACGAGCUACUUUUAAACAACCUAUCAGGGCCAACCCGUCUCUGUGGCAAAAGAGUGGGAAGAUUUUUAAGUAGAGGCGACACACCUACCGAGCCUAGAGAUAGCUGGUUAUUCAGGAAAAGGAUCUUAGUCCAAUUUUAAGCUUCUCCCUCCCCCCUCACCCACCCAAAUACAAAACAAGCUUAAAACCCAUUCAAACAAGGUACAGCCUGUUCGAAAAAGGAAACAGCCUACGACACAGGGUAAUGAUUUAUUCUAUGUGACCAAGUAAGCCUAAAAGCAGCUACCUUACAAAAAGCGUCCAAGCUUUAUCACUAAUCUUUACAAUCCCUCUACCCACCCACAACCCCCAACCACUACUGAACGACCCCAUACCCGUAUGGGGGACAUCAUGCUAGAACUAGUAACAAGAAGAAGACCUUCUCCAAAAUGUAAACGUAAGCCAAAAUGAACCCUCACCGGCACUCACCGCCACAAGUCUGCAGUAUCAACCCAACCCGAAAACCCUACUACACUUAGCGUCAACCUUACACCAGG
rnacentral:rRNA from 1 species